rnacentral:rRNA from 1 species
UACGGGGGGGCAAGCGUUGUUCGGAAUUACUGGGCGUAAAGGCUCGUAGGCGGCCAACUAAGUCAUACGUGAAUCCCUCGGCUUAACCGGGGAACUGCGUCUGAUACUGGAUGGCUUGAGUUCGGGAGAGGGAUGCGGAAUUCCAGGUGUAGCGGUGAAAUGCGUAGAUAUCUGGAGGAACACCGGUGGCGAAGGCGGCAUCCUGGACCGAUACUGACGCUGAGGAGCGAAAGCCAGGGGAGCAACGGGA